GACGAACGCUGGCGGCGUGCUUAACACAUGCAAGUCGAACGGAAAGGCUCCAGCUUGCUGGAGUACUCGAGUGGCGAACGGGUGAGUAACACGUGGGUAAUCUGCCCUGCACUCUGGGAUAAGCCUGGGAAACUGGGUCUAAUACUGGAUAUGACCUUUCUCCUUAUGGGGUUUGGUGGAAAGUUUUUCGGUGUAGGAUGAGCCCGCGGCCUAUCAGCUUGUUGGUGGGGUGAUGGCCUACCAAGGCGACGACGGGUAGCCGGCCUGAGAGGGUGAUCGGCCACAUUGGGACUGAGAUACGGCCCAGACUCCUGCGGGAGGCAGCAGUGGGGAAUAUUGCACAAUGGGCGGAAGCCUGAUGCAGCGACGCCGCGUGAGGGAUGACGGCCUUCGGGUUGUAAACCUCUUUCAGCAGGGACGAAGCGUAAGUGACGGUACCUGCAGAAGAAGCACCGGCUAACUAUGUG
rnacentral:rRNA from 1 species